UACGUAGGUGUCAAGCGUUGUCCGGAUUUAUUGGGCGUAAAGCGCCCGCAGGCGGCUUGCCAAGUUCGAUGUGAAAUCUCCCGGCUCAACUGGGAGGGUGCAUCGAAAACUGGCAGGCUUGAGGCAGGGAGAGGGAUGUGGAAUUCCAGGUGUAGUGGUGAAAUGCGUAGAUAUCAGGAGGAACACCCAUAGCGAAGGCAGCUUGCUGGGACGUAACUGACGCUAAGGCGCGAAAGCGUGGGGAGCGAACAGG
rnacentral:rRNA from 1 species